rnacentral:snRNA from 1 species
UUUUACCCUACUGAUGCCCG